UACGGAGGGUCCAAGCGUUAUCCGGAAUCAUUGGGUUUAAAGGGUCCGUAGGCGGUUUUGUAAGUCAGUGGGGAAAGCCCAUCGCUCAACGGUGGAACGGCCAUUGAUACUGCAAGACUUGAAUUAUUGGGAAGUAACUAGAAUAUGUAGUGUAGCGGUGAAAUGCUUAGAGAUUACAUGGAAUACCAAUUGCGAAGGCAGGUUACUACCAAUAUAUUGACGCUGAUGGACGAAAGCGUGGGGAGCGAACAGG
rnacentral:rRNA from 1 species